GAACUUGUAAGUUAAAUAAAACUAUUAAAUUUUUACUUUAAUUUUGAUUAAAUAAAUCCGAGUUUA
rnacentral:tRNA from 1 species